rnacentral:misc_RNA from 1 species
GUCUGGGGCAAGCAUGAAACGUAAAAUUUCACAUGAUAUCUGAAUGUGUUAUCUAAGGAUGUUGGGCAGAUUACAAGUUUAUGAUACCUUAGUUACAUGAAAGUUCCUUUGCAUGGGACUUCUGCAGCAAUUAUUCGGUAGUAAAACUUAUGUCAAUUUACACACCUGUGAGAUAGUCCCGCAGAGUAGUUAUCACAGAUGCCAAACAUUGUCUCACUUGAUAACGUAACUGUAGUCAAUGUAAUUGGAGAGUUCUCGAUAUCUGUAUUUGAAGUCUUCAUUUAUCAAUCGGAAUCUAUAAUGGCAGAUGUGGCUCGCAAAAAUAGUGUUCAAGAGCAGUUUUCCAACAAUAAAUCAUCCCAGCUCGACUAUGCACAUAUCACAUACGCUUCGGUAGGAUUUUUGGCAUUCUAUUUGGUGGUUGGCAUAGGCCAACAGUUGGUCUGCAAUAUUAUUGGCUUUUUGUACCCAGCGUACUGCUCAAUGAAAGCAUUGGAAAGUCCGCAAAAAGAUGAUGAUACUAAGUGGCUAACUUAUUGGGUUGUUUUUGCUGUCUUUACAAUUAUCGAGUUCUUUGCUGAUUACAUCGUUUACUGGCUUCCUAUCUAUUGGUUGAUCAAGUGUCUCUUUUAUGUAUGGCUUAUGGUACCAAUGGAAUACAAUGGAUCACUGAUCAUAUACCGGCGUAUCAUCCGCCCGAAAUUUUUGCAGUACCAACCAAAUGUGGAUGCUAUGAUUUCCAACGCUCGUGAUUCUGCUGUUAAAAUCGCGGCAGGUGCUCUUUCAAGUGAGAAAAAGGAUUGAAGUAAAAUCUGUUCCAGAAAUUUCUAGGCUGGCGGAAUUGAUGAUUUCUAAAUUAAGCAAAAGUCCAGUAAUUCUUUCCCUCGCCCAUUCCCGAGAUUCGAGCUGGCUUUUUUUAAGCUUGAAAUCUCACCACGUUUAUUUAUGUAUUACGUUUUUACAAAAUAUUUCUAGUUAGGAAGUGAUCGGAUGCUUGUCAAUACGAAUAUGUCACACAAAUUGGUAAGAUCUAUUUGAAUGAUGAUUUUACGUUAGUCAAUUUUGAAAGUUGCGGUUCUUUUUUUUUUACCGACAAAAGCUUCAUGUAGACCUCUGAUAUUUCGGAAUGUUUUCAUUGAUCUUUGAACAGUGUUCUUGCAAAUUUUUAUCUCAAAAUCAUGCGUAUUCAUCCGAUUUCAUACUGCAUGAGUGUCUUAUAUACGAAACAUUAAAUUAUUUAAUAAUAAAUUACCUAGAGAAACCAACUACUAAAUAAUAAUGAUACUUCCUCAAGUGCUGUGUUUGUAGUUUUGUUAUUCUAUCAACUUAAAAGUAUAUUGUCUUAAGAUAAAAAAACAAUUUGUUGAUCAAACUUUUUUCUGCUCAAGUGCCAUUAAGAUUGAUUCAUCCGCACAACGAGUCUAAACCAGAGAUACCUCUUAAUUUUUCGACUGGCUGACUAAAUUUCUUCAAGAGUAAAGUCUAAACAUCUGAAUAGAGCUCUGUAAAUGUCAUCGAUUAAAAUUCAGCUCAGUGAGCAAUUCUUUCUAUUGGUUUUGGGGAUGGCACCACCAACUAACAAUAAAGAUUAUGAUACUUUGUGUGUAUGAGAGGUCAUUAAGAAUCAGCCCAGUUACUGAAACACAAACUAAGUACUUGACAUAUUGGGAUCUGAACAAGAUUAUUUCAUUAUUGUGUUAUAAUGAAAAGAAACAUAUAGGGCUUGAUUCGAUGUAAGAGCAAGUCACAUGUUUUCAAUCUUGUAUCAUUGUACUCCAGUUUUUGAAAAGUUAGUAAACAUAUUAACUGAACAGCUUUUGACAAAUUCAAAAGAUAUGAUAUUUGCCCUCAGGAAAAAUCAAUGUAAAAUUCCAUAACGACCUCACAAUCAAGAUAAAAUGUGACAGUGGUGACAAAGGUGUGCGAAACAUUAAUAUCGGAAUGAUCGAAUCUCGUGAUGAGCUAUUAACAAUUGUUGUACACAAAUAUGUUCUUUAAUAUUCAUGUUGCAUCACUUUAGUUACGAACGUAUUCAAUAAUUGAAAACAUUGUUUUUGACAAAAUGUUACUGUUCAUUGUUGGUGGGUUUAGAUAUGUUACAAUUAUACAAAUUGGAGCACUGUGGUGCCUCAAAAGACAAUUUUCUUCACAUCUUAGUAACAAAGCUUUACCUCAAAUAAUAUGUUGCCUGAAAAGAACAGAAAUAAAGAUGGUUUUAUUUUGGA